CAGACCAUAGAUAGUAUAGAAGACAGCUCGCUAGCGUGUCUAGUCUGUGUAUAUCUGUGGUCGGCACGUCUGGCAGCGUCUCUGGCUGCUGUUGACCUUGUUUUUGGAGUAAAACACGGUGGAAGCUGAAUUAGUGAGGAUGACUCCUGCUCCUGUCAUCUCUAAGCUCCUCACACAUCUUUACCUGCACAUGAGGAAAAUCACUCCUGUAGAAUGCAGUGGUUCAUCAGAACCUCUGGGGAUCCUGUGGAUUCUGUGGAUCCUGUGGGUUGCAGGGUGGGUCCUACCUAGACCAGGCUGAUCCUGGACCAUCCCACAGAUGCUCAAUCAGAUCUGGAUGUGGGGAGUGUGGAACCCAGAUGUUCAGAGGGAGAUGAUGCCACAUCUGGUCCAGCCGAUGGAAGGUCUUGAAGUUCUCUGACUGGCCUCGACUGAAGAUGGUCGUCUCACUGGAUUUAAGGUUCAGAUGCUCAGUAACAAACUCCACCAAUGAGCCAACAGGGAAGCUUUAGGUUUAUUAAAUGUUGCUAUGAAGGUAUCGCUGUUUUUCUUUGUGAAUGCAAUGUGCUCCAACUGAAACUUGAAUUAGAACUUAGAAGUAAAUCCUUUCAUCUGAAAGGAUUUAGUUGCAUUAAUAACCUCAUAACAUUCUAAUUUUUAUUCCAGUCUUGGUUGGAAAUAUAAUCUCUGUAUUGAUUCAGGUAAAAACUGAACUUCACAGAAUGUUGGAGCAAAACAACCAGAUGAAAACUGUGAUGGUGUUGGAUUGUCAGAUCGUAAUGUUGCAGCUCAAAGCAGCUUUUCUAGCUCAGUUCAUUCUGACAUUCAGCUAUGAAUCAAGUCCCAUCUAGUUUUCAUGAGGAAUGUGAUGUUUUAAUUUCUCUGUGAAUAACUGCAGUCUAAUGCAACAGCUGGAGUUGUAACAUCUGUCCUGAUAUUGAUCAUGAAGUAUUGAUCAGAAUACUUAUGGUUAGCAGUCAUCCCUGAAGUUUUACAUUAAAAUCUUUACUUGUGUUGUGAACUUUGGUAAGAAGCAGAAAUUUUAGCGUUGCCAUGGAUACAUGAGUGUUAAAUUCUGUCCAUGUUCCCAUUUUGGGAAAUGCAGUCCAGCAGAUGAGUUUUUUUUACUGACAGCUACCAUUUAGUCUGAGAUAUUAAGAAUAAAUAAAUGUGCUUAAUGUGGAAAUUAACAGAUUUUAAUCAUUUUUACUCCAAACAUUUACUGGACUGAUUUAAAUAUUAAAAUCGCUCCAUUCUAAUCCUCUGCUGUACAUUCAAACCUGAGGCCUUAAAUAGAAACACACAAGUAUCCGAUUGAAGGAACUUCUGCAGAGUCCUGGUUCCAGAACAUGAUGAUAGAAUUAUAGACAAACUUUAACAAAAGCUGCCUGAGAGUUUACAGGUUUUUAUGUUAGAUUUCUUCAGUAAUUUAAUGAGAGUUAUCAGCAAAAAUCAAGUGUUCAUUUGAUGAACUUCAUUUCCUAAAACAUCCAGAAUUGGAGCUCAUAUCUUUGGCAACUGUAAAGUUUCUGCUCCUUCAAAGUUCACAACACAAUGAAUGAAUUCCUAAAACACUCUCAGUGCUGGAGAGCGUUUGUGAUGCUGAAGCAGUGACCAGUUUUUCUGUUUCUUCUCUGGAGAUGCACAAUGAGGGACGUCUGCAGAGACUGAGAAAGAGUCUCACCACAUCCUGACAUGAGGAAAAAGACUUGAUUGAAGACUACAAUGAGAAAAACUAUCAGACAGCAGACGGCUGCAUUCAAGGCUACAAGAGGAGCCCUACGAGGACGAGCCGGUCCACCUGAUGGCGGCCAGUCGCUGCGGUUCAAAGCCAACACCGACUACGUGGACUUCUACUGGACCACACGGAGGCCUUCAAACCGGACCAACAAGUUCAGCGACUCCCCGACUCGUUGGUCUGAGGACGCCGCCGAGCCUCGGUCCAGCCGGCCUCCUGUCUGUGGGUGUUUGAGUGCUGAGAGG
ensembl:lncRNA